CGCGCCCGCGCCCGCGCCCGCGCCGCUCAGUUCUUAGCAGUUAGUCGUUGCUUACCAUGGCUUGUACAUCCUGAGGAGCAGAGUGAUGGAUCCUGGGCCUGUACAUGCGACUGAGUUAUUGGACUGUCCUGAAGCCUCAAUUAGCCAUGCAGGACAUAGGACAUGGGUGUGUAUGAAAUGAAACUGACCUUAAACACCUAGAUAAUGGUGCUGCGUCUGUUAAUAGACUACGUCUUGACAAGCAUAAGCAGUUAUAUCGUAGAUGCAUUGGCUUUAAGUUGCUGACUAAUCCUGAAUGUACAUUACAGCUGAAAAGUGUAUGAAAUUCAAAUGUGCCUGGAUAGAAAAUUCUAGUGCAUCAUCAUUUUCUCAUGAAGUCUUACUGGAUUUUUGAAAGCAAAACACUUUACUUAAAAAAGGCCUGAUACACGAAAUUCAUGCGAGGGCUUUGGCCCCGGCCCCCACCCGCCACUGCUGUGGCCACGGCUGGGGGGCCUCUGCUGCCUCUGCCUCCUCUGCCACGGCCCCUGCCUGCUGUGACUUUGUUCAGAAGGAAGGACGUCCAGAAGGACAUUUGGUCUCAGUAGCAUAUUACACUUUUAUUAUUAAAAAUUGAAAAGAAUAAAUAAAGACAA